GACGAACGCUGGCGGCGUGCUUAACACAUGCAAGUCGAACGGAAAGGCCCUGCUUGCAGGGUACUCGAGUGGCGAACGGGUGAGUAACACGCGGGUGAUCUGCCCUGCACUUCGGGAUAAGCCUGGGCAACUGGGUCUAAUACCGGAUAGGAGCCAUUUUUAGUGUGAUGGUUGGAAAGUUUUUUCGGUGUAGGAUGAGCUCGCGGCCUAUCAGCUUGUUGGUGGGGUAAUGGCCUACCAAGGCGGCGACGGGUAGCCGGCCUGCGAGGGUGGACGGCCACAUUGGGACUGAGAUGCGGCCCAGACUCCUACGGGAGGCAGCAGGGGGGAAUAUUGCACAAUGGGCGCAAGCCUGAUGCAGCGACGCCGCGUGGGGGAUGACGGCCUUCGGGUUGUAAACUCCUUUCGCUAGGGACGAAGCUUUUUGUGACGGUACCUAGAUAAGAAGCACCGGCUAACUACGUG
rnacentral:rRNA from 1 species